UACAGAGGUCUCAAGCGUUGUUCGGAUUCAUUGGGCGUAAAGGGUGCGUAGGCGGCGCGGUAAGUCGGGUGUGAAAUCUCGGGGCUUAACUCCGAAACUGCAUUCGAUACUGCCGUGCUUGAGGACUGGAGAGGAGACUGGAAUUUACGGUGUAGCGGUGAAAUGCGUAGAUAUCUGGAGGAACACCGGUGGCGAAGGCGGCAUCCUGGACCGGCAUUGACGCUGAGGAGCGAAAGCCAGGGGAGCAAACGGG
rnacentral:rRNA from 1 species